rnacentral:sRNA from 1 species
UAACCAGAUCAGACCAGACGUGGUCAACCA